GAUGAACGCUGGCGGCGUGCUUAACACAUGCAAGUCGAACGGGAAACCUUUUAUUGAAGCUUCGGCAGAUUUAGCUGGUUUCUAGUGGCGGACGGGUGAGUAACGCGUGGGUAACCUGCCUUAUACAGGGGGAUAACAACCAGAAAUGGUUGCUAAUACCGCAUAAGCGCACAGGACCGCAUGGUCCGGUGUGAAAAACUCCGGUGGUAUAAGAUGGAUCCGCGUUGGAUUAGCUAGUUGGCAGGGUAACGGCCUACCAAGGCGACGAUCCAUAGCCGGCCUGAGAGGGUGAACGGCCACAUUGGGACUGAGACACGGCCCAGACUCCUACGGGAGGCAGCAGUGGGGAAUAUUGCACAAUGGGGGAAACCCUGAUGCAGCGACGCCGCGUGAAGGAAGAAGUAUCUCGGUAUGUAAACUUCUAUCAGCAGGGAAGAUAGUGACGGUACCUGACGAAGAAGCCCCGGCUAACUACGUG
rnacentral:rRNA from 1 species